CUUUCCAAAUCCACCACCUGUUUGCCGUAUCUUGAGCACUGCUAGUGGUCAAAACAAUCCUCCCAUGAAAAUCCAACAUGGCGGCGCCCCUUAGGACAUUGUGUAGUACAGAUGGCCGGUCAGCACCCCCGCUGAAAGGACAGCUGAGGAGAAAGCAGGAGAGCGAGACAUUAGCAAGACGUGUAGUGAAUCUCAGCCCUGAGGUGGAUAAAGGGAUGGAAGUGUGGAGGGAGAAACGGGAGGAAGCUAAAAGGAUCGAGGAACGCAAAUAAAUCUCUUCUGCUAAAAUCCAAAGGGAACCUUUUAUUGAAGAAAAAUAAAUAAGAGAUCAUAUUUUCCAUUCUAACUGACAUUACCUAUUAACAAAAUGGUGGAGUUGGUGUAUGGCUUUGUAGUACUUAUUUUGCCCUUUUCAAUGUUUUUCAAAAAUAAACUUUAAUGUAUAUCCACAA